rnacentral:ribozyme from 14 species
ACGAAAAAAAGAAAAGAACAGAAAAGAAACAGAGAAAGAAGAGGGCACAUCGCGCUGUUUUGUGCCCAAUUUCUCUGGUGUUCUGGUUUGCGGCACGACAUCCACGCGGCUUUAAAAAAAAAACGCGAAGAAGCAAGGCCAGGUUCAUAGAGGGCCAGUAAAUUAAUCUCAAACUUUA